GUACUUGUAUGGUUUGGGGUUUUAUGUUAUCGGUUUAUAUAUAUAUGUGAUUUUUAUUAACUAUUUCCAGAAAUAAUUCUGCAGUUAAGCCAAAAGCUGCUGCAUGAAGCAAAAACUCUUCCUCCAUAGAUACCCUGCCUCAGUCGAGCUAGGCAGGUUUAGCCCAACCAAAGGACUGUAUUUGUUGAGAGAAGAGACAUUUGUUUUCUCCCCAAACUUCAAGCUCUGGUUUUGAAACAUAACUCUCAGUCCCAUCUCUAAAUCCUAGUUACAGCAUUAAUUCUCAGUAAGUUCUUCUUUUUGCACGUACUCUCAUGUAAGCAGCAGUCUAAAUACCCAUGUAAGGGCAGCCAGAGGAGUGGGUUUGUGCCUGGGGAACAGAGGAGCCAAGGCCCCCCCACGUUACUUGUCCACUUCUCCUUCCAUCUGUGACAAUCAGCUCCAAGCAUUAAGGGCUUCUUCUGGUCCUGGAGGCCAGGCAACACGUCACCUCUGAGAUGUUGGCCUUUGCCACCGUGGCUUCUCCAGCACAGAGCCUCAUUGUCACUUCCUCCAGCUGCUCAGGGAACAUGAUCUUCACUGUUGUCGUGUCAGAUGAGGAAAUUGGGCCACCAGGAAGCCGAGUGACUUGCCCAAGGUCACGCUGUGUGGUAGUGGCACAGCCAGUUUCCAGGCCGUGCUCCCCCAUGAAGCCUCCCCAACUUUCCUCCCAGAUCACGUGCACUGGGUCACCCAAAAACUUUGCCCUUCUGCACAUUAGCCUCUAAGGACAGCUGCUCUAAGCACUUUCUAGCCAGGCCCCUCAGCAGCAGCACUACAAGGGUGGCCCUGCCUCAGCGCCUGCCCACCACCUCCCCUCAGAAUCAUCAGCUGUGCCGCGAUGGUGCCAGCACACCGCACACUACAUUGCUGGUAUCUGGCUCGGAGGAAGCCCUGUGGGAAAGGCUGUGAGUGUGUUGCCCCAGGUUCCACAGGACACUUAGAGUUUGCGGGACACCUGCCGUCAACGCACUGCAACAAUCUUUAGGGAUGUUAAUUGUUCCUCAGGAGGCAUACGGAGGAAUCACAUCCACCUUAAACAUGCCCACUUAUGGCAUUUGGGCUCACACAGCCAAACAGCUGCCAUCGUCUGAAGUAACGCAUGGGCUGUUGGGCUCCUACAGUGUGACAGACAUACUUCUCUGCAUCAUCCAUGUACCAGCCUGUUUUCUUCUCACUGCAGCCCAAUCAGCUAAUUAUCAUCAUUUCCAUCUUUCAAAAACAAAUGCUUAAAGAUGCCAUUAUUUACCCCAGGGUCACAGAUGGUAAAAGUGACAGAACCACAGGCCAAACACUUGUUGUUUUACCAUGUGACUCCAAGGAGCAUGAAAUCUGAGGCUCUUCAUCCAUGAGAUUUUCCAGCCACUCAUGUCCCUUCCUCUGUUGGAGAUGAAGCCUCUCCAGAGUGGAAGGCAGUGGACCUAGCUUGGAUCAGGAUGCCUGGACUUUGCUCCUGCUUCUUCCAGAUACCGGCUCUAUGACUUGUAUCAGAUCAUCUUUUAACCCCUCUGAGCCUCACUUUCCGCAUCUGUGAAAUGGACAUCAUAAUGCCUGCCUUACCUUCUGCCUUAGCUUGUCUUGAGGAGAAAUAGAAAUGAUGUCUGUGAAGCUGUCAGUAACGUGUGAAAGCGCUGUCCCUAUGAGCUUACAUGUGUUAAACCUUCUGUUAUUCCAAAAGAGAGGUUUGGCACAUCAACUUGAGGAAUAUUUACUUAAGUGGAGGAGAAACAAAGCAACUAAAGUAGCCAAAAUUAGCAGUGAACAGAAGAAAAUUCUCAGGAGGAAAAUGGUUCUUCAGCUGGUUUUGCAAGGAUUAGCAACAUGUGUGUCCCAUUCCAGAGCAGCAAAUCACGGCGCAGGCCCUAGCCAUUUUGCUCAGGGAGAACUGCGCUCUUCGGGAAACGUUCUGUUGCAAGUCGCAGAUUAUAGGUGUGUGGUAGAAGGCCAAGCCUGA
rnacentral:lncRNA from 1 species